UGUUUGCAGCCUGUGAGAUGCACCUUCCGAUUCUCAUGUGAAAUGAAGAGGCAGAGAGCCACACUCUGAAGGCCCUGGAUCUCAGCUUGCUUCUUAGACUCCCUGCAGCUGGUUAGAGUCCGUGAUGCCGGGAGGAAGGCACUGGUGGCAGGCACAGCCGAGAGCUCACAUCUCAAACUGCAAGCAGGAAGUCGAGAGCACACUGGGAAUGGCAUGAGCCCUUUAAAACCUCAAACACACUUCUUCCAGCAAGGCCACAGCUCUUAAUCCUCCUCAAACAGCCGCCAACUGGGGACCAAAGACUCAAGAGUGUGAGACUCGGCAGGGGAACAUCGCAUUCAAACCCACAAAAUAGAAUGGGAGAUUGUUCUACCUUCACAUAAUUAAAUGUUUGGGCACCCUGAUUGACAUAUUAAUACUCAAACCGUGUAAACAGGGCCGCCCUGAGGUUGCCUCUUCUCUACACCAAGUUCCACAAACCCCUGGGCUGUGAUCACAUUGGGGAGCAGAACACAGCUUCCUUUCUCGGUGAAGUUUAUGAACACGUAGUCUCUUGGGUGCUACUGCCCCCACAUUUGAGUGCUGUGGGACGGUCUUUCUGUACUCUGUGACUGGUUACUAAAGAAGCUGUUUUGGCUUAUGGUAAGGUAGGAUAAGAGCCAGGUGGGAAAUCCAAGAGAGACACAGGGAGAAGAGGGCAGAGUCAGAGGACACAGGAGCCCACAGCCCAGGGAGCAACAUGUC